rnacentral:misc_RNA from 1 species
CAUUAAAGAUAUAAAGCAAACAAAAUUUCCGGCGAGGCUCAAUCAUCUCUCUCAACACCUUUUCUAACCACUAAUAUCCGACCACGAAAAUCUCUUCCAUUCAAAGAAAGUGCAGCAUCACGCUCUGCAGCAGACGAAAAUGACAAAAAGGCAUAGGCACGGUUCUUUCCAGCUUUACGAUCAGACAACACUCUUGCACUAACUACAAUCCCAAACUGGCUAAAUUGAUUCCUCAACUC